rnacentral:tRNA from 1 species
AAGAAAGUGGCAGAAUGGGUUGCGGUUGGCUUGAAACCAUCUUACGGGGGUUCGAUUCCUCCCUUUCUCG